rnacentral:lncRNA from 1 species
CCGGGGGUUCAGAACAGUCAGUGUCUGGGAGGCCGUAGGUGUGGGGACAUUCUCAGCCACUUCAUUCACUCAUUUAUUCGUUCGUUCAUCCCACAACUACUUGGUGAGCCCCUCCUGUGGACCAAGUGCUUUUCAAGGCACCGGGGACACAGUGGCGACAAAACGGCGCUCCCCGUGCUGUGGGACUGACUGUCCAGAUGUGGAGGCAGCCCAGGCCGGGCACAGUGGCUCGUACCUGCAAUCCCAGCACUUUGGAAGGGCAAAGCGGGUGGAUCACUUGAGCCCAGGAGUUAAAGACCAGCCUGGGCAACAC